UACGUAGGGGGCUAGCGUUGUCCGGAUUUAUUGGGCGUAAAGGGCGCGUAGGCGGCCUUCUAAGUCGGACGUGAAAUCCCUCGGCUUAACCGAGGAACUGCGUCCGAUACUGAAAGGCUUGAAUCCGGGAGAGGGGUGUGGAAUUCCAGGUGUAGCGGUGAAAUGCGUAGAUAUCUGGAGGAACACCGGUGGCGAAGGCGGCAUCCUGGACCGGCAUUGACGCUGAGGCGCGAAAGCUAGGGGAGCAAACAGG
rnacentral:rRNA from 1 species